AACGAACGCUGGCGGCAUGCCUAACACAUGCAAGUCGAACGAAGGCUUCGGCCUUAGUGGCGCACGGGUGCGUAACGCGUGGGAAUCUGCCCUUUGGUUCGGAAUAACAGCUGGAAACGGCUGCUAAUACCGGAUGAUGACGAAAGUCCAAAGAUUUAUCGCCAGAGGAUGAGCCCGCGUUGGAUUAGGUAGUUGGUGGGGUAAAGGCCUACCAAGCCGACGAUCCAUAGCUGGUCUGAGAGGAUGAUCAGCCACACUGGGACUGAGACACGGCCCAGACUCCUACGGGAGGCGGCAGUGGCGAAUAGAGGAAAACGGGCGCAAGCCUGAUCCAGCAAGGCCGCGUGAGUGAUGAAGGCCGUAGGGUUGUAAAGCUCUUUUAACCGGGAAGAUAAUGACUGUACCGGGAGAAUAAGCCCCGGCUAACUCCGUG
rnacentral:rRNA from 1 species